GGCCUCGGGUGGGAGGGAGGGGGGUGUGUGUGCUCCUCCAGCCUGGCUUCUGGCCAGGUUGCCGUGGUGGCCAUAAAAAGCAAGGUUUGGGGUCAGUCGGUGUCUGGAUGUGGCUGAACAGAAAGGGUUUCUUCACAUGGUGCUGCCUUGGUGUGCUGGCAGCUAAUGAGGUCUCCCACUCGUUCAAAAACGCAGUCUGUUUGCUCCUCAAGGCACUCAUCCUUCCUACAAAAUUAAGUUCUCAUUCUUCAGGUAUUACAGGUUAACGGUAGAAAUAAGGAGAAAGUAAGUGACUCAUCCUCCCUAACUACAGCCAUCCAGAAAGAAAAGGAAAAUCCAGAGGCUGGAGAAAGCAGGCAGGUGUUUUAUGAGCCUGGAAAUUGCCCGUGUCAACCUGCCCAAAGGUACCAGCUCCUCACACAGUAUGUGAUCAACAGCAACAGUGGAUAAGGCCUGCUAACUACCAAGGAGGCAGACUAAAAUUCACUGAUGUUAAUUUCCUCCAUUCCAGAUUUGAGAAUUGAGAAUAUUAAUCAUGAUGAUUAAUCUUAUUGACCAGAGGAACUGUUGAAUUAAACGGAGGAAGCUAUUGCUGCAGUUAGUAAUUACAAAACAUGUAACUAAAAAGAGGCUCUGAGAAUCACCUGCACUUCCAGCUUCACAGAGGGGAUCCCAGAAGCUACCGGCAGGAGGAUUAAAAGGCAGAAAGGCCAAUGGAACCAGCAGGAUCUAUUAUGUCACAGGUGUUUUACAUCAGCAUCAGGGGCUGCUGCCACACCAGCGCUGGUGCUGCACACUUCUCAGAGUUGCCCUUUUGGUUUUGGGAUGCUAACCGUUGCCUCUUUUGAAGGAACUAGCAUGUGGAAGGCACAUCUCAGAUGCAGAGCUUUAUUUUGGUAUAAUUGCAUUGGAUAACGUGGAAGAAGAUGCUAUAGGACUGUUAAUCCUUGAGAAGGAAAACUGCUAUACUGCUCCUAACAGCUUAACUGCCUUUGUGUAUGUAGGAGGAUAUCCAUAGACAAGCAGAAAAUAUCAAGAUACCUAUUGUUUGCUUAUUUCAUAUUUUGUAUUAACAAAAGCAGAAGAAAAGGUAGGAAAGAUUUGUGGUCCUAAAAAUAUUCAACUAAGAAUGAAUGAACAAAUGCAUGAAUGAAAAUUCAUCCACAUUAAAACUACGCAUUCAUGUUUCUCAGGACUGAGAUGAUGAUAAUCUGUUUAUGUCACAGAUGUGGGCAAAAGUAGUUAUCAAAAUCGUUGACAAUUUUACUUUACAUGCCAAAUAGGAAGUACAAUUCCAACAUAACUGUUAUGCAUUCAGAUGAGUGUAUAUAUUUAUAAGAGUUAAGAAUAACAUUCAUGAAAAUUCAUCCUUUGCCAUACACCCCUGGAAAUCAACUUUGCUUUGUCAUCCUAAAAUAUAUUUUUUGUAAAAUGGCUAAAUUGAAAUUACCAAAUAUUGGAAUGGAAGAAUUCUGACCUCUUUCAGCUUUUCCUAAAUGCAGGGUAGGACUGUUUUAUAAUGAAACAGAAUAAAGUUUCUUACAUAUAUUGCCAUUCAAGUUUUAAUUUAUUUACAAGAGAUUAAUAUUUCUAUAGCUUUUAGUUUAGUAUCUGUCCUAAGCCAGUUCCCUCUGCUUUUCUAGGUGGUAGAGUGUAUCUGACAGUAAUGACAAACUACCAGACAGCAGCCAGAGUGUAACUUUAGCACUUACUGAUCUUCUGCAUUACAUAAUGUCAUCUCUGGUUCUGUGUUUUUCUAUGUACAUGUGUAUUAGAGUUUUAAAAGCACUGUACAGCAGAAGUGCUUUCCAGUCCUUUCUGUCUUUGCACCUGUAUUUGUGCUCCAGAAUAGCUCAUGUGUCGUGUAAUAUCCAGCAGGCAUGUGCUAAUCUUGGAAAAGGAGUGUGAGAACUACUGCAGCACCCUGCAGCCUCUUCCCAAUUCAUGCCUCCAACUCCCUCUGGGAGCAGGGCAAGGACAAAGCAGGGGGUGAGCCUGUGUCUUGCCUAAAACUGAAACAGUACCGGGGUGCACUAAGGGAAAAUGAAUGCUUUGUGGGGCUUGGCGUUCCCUACUGGGGAUUACCCAGCUAAUAGAAGACAGAAACAGUGCUAUUUACGCUGCAAUACACUUGUCGUUUGCUUAUGCUCAAUCACCUCAGCUUGCCACUUCAACAUAGCAGUGGACCCAUCAAAUUUUGGCUGGUUAACGUAACUUGGGAUAGCAGGUUGAUCUGGCCAAGUUGUUUUUCUCACCCAGAUGCUCUGGGUUUUAUCCUGUAGCUUACUGUGCUCUUCUUAAAUGCUGACAAAGGCGGGGCAAAGGCAGAGGUCACCAAACAGCAAAUACAAACAGGGCACAGGAGCAGACCAGAAACAAAAUCAUUGUUGAUGCUGUCAACCAAACAUAGGUUUAAUCCAAAUCACACCAAAAAGAGUAAAAGUAGUGCCUAGAAACUUUAUUCUGCAACUGAAGCCCUACAACCACCACAAGGAUCAAAGUUAAUUUGAUUUUUUGAAUACCCAAGUCUGUUCGGUGUGUAGAUUGGAAAAAGUUCUCUGUCUGCAAAACGAACAGCGGAAGUCUUCGACAUUACUGAGAAUGAGCACGGUAUUUUUGUGGUCCCCUAACUGGCACAAUCAGAAGGAUUUAGACUCAUUGCACUAAAAAUAAGAAGAAAUCAAAAAGUCAGAUCAAGUUCUCAUUUCUAAGGAGGAAAUACCGUUUGUUAAUCAGUCUGUUCUCUGAGCAUGCACUCAGAGAUUUAAAUUGUAAAUUUUAUCAUCUUCUUCCUUUGCCUGCUCUCAAAAAUCAAAUCAGCGUUAGCAACAGUCCAAUACACUUAAUGCUGCAUUAAAAAAUAUGAGCUCUUUUGGGCAUAACAGGAUUACAAACUGCUCUGUGGUAACGUGUUGGCUGUCAGGGCUGAAGCUCCUGCUCUUAUCACCGCACUGCUGGCUGGCUGUGGGGCAGUCGGGCUCUUUCUUUGGCUUGGAAAUGGGCAGUGUCACACACACUGCAGCACCAGUCUUAGGUCUGCGCGUGACAGCAGCACUGCUUUACCCACAGCCAGUGAAGCAUGACAUAAGAAUUCUCCACUCCUAACCUGCUCUGUCUUCUUAACACCGAAAGCACAGGGAAAUGCAGCAGUUCACUUGACAAAGCCUGAAUUAGAGGUGGCAAUAUUCUUUCUGUAAUCCGUCAGGUGGAAAACUAUGGAUUAGAAAGCUUUCAUUUGCUCCCUCACAAAAUGAGAUAUAUGCCAAGCUUUCAGUUUGGAUCUCUUUAAAUAUAUAUAUAUAUAUAUAUUUUCUUCAAGCCAAUUGCACUAAAUUGUGUGAACUUUUGCUUUAGGUCCAGACCAUUUGUAAUGUAACUUGAAACAGAAGGGGCUGCACAAUAUUUCUUUUGUUCUGGUUUUAUGAAAUUGGUUUGAAAAUGACAAUAUAUUUAACAAUUACAUUUUCUGCAUUUUACUUUAAAACAAAGAUGGAGAAAAAAAAUUUAUUCUCACUAUUUUUUUUAUAUUUUUUUUUUACUUUGGUGAUGUGGUAAAAGCAUUCUUGUUAAGCUUCCUCCUAUGAGCACAAUACCAGAACUAUGUUGUGUCUUAUGACUGGGCCAUUUCUGCCUUUUCAAAAUAAAUUAGUGUGCUUGUACAUCUGAGGCUUUACUAUAAAUGACAGCUGCUACAUUAUAUUUUUUCUAAUUGGGAAGGAAAGCCCAUAUGUAAUGUUUGUGUCUUCUUUUCGCUAACAGUCACAAAACAUGCUAAUUUGCUGAAAAAAAAAUUGCAUUUUAAACAAAGCUGCAAGUAUUUUGAAUAGAAAUGCAGAUUCUCCUUAUUUUUUUUUUCUGGAAACCUGCAGCAUCUGCUUUGUUCAGCAAUAUGUUAAUGAGAUCACUUCAGUAUUUUUCUAAUCAGAAUAAAAUCAAUGGAUUUGGGGACAGUUCUCGUGCUAGCUCUGUAUAAGACAGUACGUACACAGUGAUGCUUACAGGGUGAGUUUCAUUAACCUUACUGGGGCUAGUGAAGAAGGCUGACAGCACACAAACUUAGGAAGAGAUUAAUGCAUUGCAGUGAUGAGAACCCUAUGGGUUGUGGGUGUUUUUUUGUGUGAGCCAGAUCUCUGGGCAAAAUCUAAGCCAUUUCAUAGCAUGCUUUGAUUUUUCAUUUACCAUGCAUGCAUUUUUAACAAUUUUGCUUAACUCUAUCCAAGUGUCCAGUUUAGACAAUCUAAACACAAUAUUACAUAGAAUGGCUUUGUAAAGUGGCA